GAUGAAGAACGUAGCAAAAUGCGAUAAGUAAUGUGAAUUGCAGAAUUCAGUGAAUCAUCGAAUCUUUGAACGCACAUUGCGCCCGCUGGUAUUCCGGCGGGCAUGCCUGUUCGAGCGUCAUUUCAACCCUCAAGCCCCCGGGUUUGGUGUUGGGGAUCGGCUCUGCCCUUCUGGGCGGUGCCGCCCCCGAAAUACAUUGGCGGUCUCGCUGCAGCCUCCAUUGCGUAGUAGCUAACACCUCGCAACUGGAACGCGGUGCGGCCAUGCCGUAAAACCCCAACUUCUGAAUGUUGACCUCGGAUCAGGUAGGAAUACCCGCUGAACUUAAGCAUAUCAAUAAGCGGAGGA
rnacentral:misc_RNA from 1 species